AGCGAACGCUGGCGGCAGGCUUAACACAUGCAAGUCGAGCGGGCAUCCUUGUGGUGUCAGCGGCAGACGGGUGAGUAACGCGUGGGAAUGUGCCCUUCGGUUCGGAAUAACUCAGGGAAACUUGAGCUAAUACCGGAUACGUGCGAGAGCAGAAAGGUUUAUCUGCCGAAGGAUCGGCCCGCGUCUGAUUAGCUAGUUGGUGAGGUUAUGGCUCACCAAGGCGACGAUCAGUAGCUGGUCUGAGAGGAUGAUCAGCCACACUGGGACUGAGACACGGCCCAGACUCCUACGGGAGGCAGCAGUGGGGAAUAUUGGACAAUGGGGGCAACCCUGAUCCAGCCAUGCCGCGUGAGUGAUGACGGCCUUAGGGUUGUAAAGCUCUUUUCUACGGGACGAUAAUGACGGUACCGGAGGAAUAAGCCCCGGCUAACUUCGUG
rnacentral:rRNA from 1 species